rnacentral:rRNA from 1 species
AACGAACGCUGGCGGCAUGCUUAACACAUGCAAGUCGAACGGGAUCCUAGCUUGCUAGGUGAGAGUGGCGGACGGGUGAGUAACACGUGGGAAUCUGCCUUUUGGUUCGGGAUAACCGCGGGAAACUGCGGCUAAUACCGAAUGCCCUCGAGAGAGGAAAGAUUUAUCGCCAGAAGAGGAGCCCGCGUCCGAUUAGGUAGUUGGUGGGGUAAAGGCCUACCAAGCCGACGAUCGGUAGCUGGUCUGAGAGGAUGAUCAGCCACACUGGGACUGAGAUACGGCCCAGACUCCUACGGGAGGCAGCAGUGGGGAAUAUUGGACAAUGGGGGCAACCCUGAUCCAGCAAUGCCGCGUGAGUGAUGAAGGCCUUAGGGUUGUAAAAGCUCUUUUGCCAGGGAAGAUGAUGACUGUACCUGGAGAAUAAGCCCCGGCUAAACUUCGUGCCAGCAGCCGCGGUAAU